UACGUAGGGGGCAAGCGUUGUCCGGAUUUAUUGGGCGUAAAGAGCGUGUAGGCGGCCAGGGAGGUCUGCUGUGAAAACUCGAGGCUUAACCUCGAGCUGUCGGCGGAAACCAUCUGGCUAGAGUCCGGAAGAGGAGAAUGGAAUUCCCGGUGUAGCGGUGAAAUGCGCAGAUAUCGGGAGGAACACCAAUGGCGAAGGCAGCUCGCUGGGACGUGGCUGACGCUGAGACGCGAAAGCGUGGGGAGCAAACAGG
rnacentral:rRNA from 1 species